UACGUAGGGUGCGAGCGUUAAUCGGAAUUACUGGGUGUAAAGCGUGCGCAGGCGGUUUUUUUAAGACAGGCGUGAAAUCCCCGGGCUUAACCUGGGAACUGCGCUUGUGACUGGAAGGCUAGAGUACGGCAGAGGGGGGGUGGAAUUCCAACGUGUAGCAGUGAAAUGCGUAGAGAUGUGGAGGAACACCCGAUGGCGAAGGCAGCCCCCUGGGCCGAUACUGACGCUCAUGCACGAAAGCGUGGGGAGCAAACAGGAUUAGAACUACCU
rnacentral:rRNA from 1 species